AUCGAACGCUGGCGGCAGGCCUAACACAUGCAAGUCGAACGAGUGGCGGACGGGUGAGUAACGUCUGGGAAACUGCCUGAUGGAGGGGGAUAACUACUGGAAACGGUAGCUAAUACCGCAUACCAUCGGAUGUGCCCAGAUGGGAUUAGCUAGUGGGUGGGGUAAAGGCUCACCUAGGCGACGAUCCCUAGUUGGUCUGAGAGGAUGGCCAGCCACACUGGAACUGAGACACGGUCCAAACUCCUACGGGAGGCAGCAGUAGGGAAUAUUGCCCAAGGGGCGCAAGCCUGAUGCAGCCAUGCCGCGUGUAUGAAGAAGGCCUUCGGAUUGUAAAGUACUUUCGGCGGGGAGGCGUUACCCGUAGAAAAAGCACCGGCUAACUCCGUGCCAGCCGCCGCGGUAAUAC
rnacentral:rRNA from 1 species